UGCGCGCCCGCCUCGGAGGAGGCGGGGCAGUGGUUGCCUGGUUACGGGGCCACCUUCCCGAGCAGGAACCCGGAUGAGGCACGGACAUGGCGUCAGGGCUUAGAGGAGUGCGGAGAGGAGGAGAGUGAGGCUGGGUAGACUUGCGUCACCCGAAACAUUAAUCAGACCUGGGUACCUUCAGUGCGAAGACUUGUUAAACUUUUGUGAAGAAGAAAGAAGAAGGAAGGAAGGAAAGAAAAAGAGACAGAGACAGAUCUUUCAUCUGCUUGUCUGCUCCCUUAAAGUCCACAUGAGCCACAGCUGGGCCAGGCUGAAGCCAGGAGUCCAGAGCCCUACCAUGGUGGCAGGGACCCAGCUACUUGAGCUGUCGCCUGCAUUAUCAGGAAGUGGGACUCAGAAGUGGAGCUGGGACUCGAACCUCAACAGGUAGGGGAUGCUGUGCCCCAAGCAGUGUCUUAUAACGACCACCCCAACUUAUCUUUUAAUUCCCUUUCUCCAUGAGCUUUUUGAGCUACCUUCAUAUGUAACGUGGUAGGCUGAAAAUUAGGAAAUAAUUCCCCCAUGCCCAAUCUAGCUUGGAGGAAUAUACCUAACAGACAAAGCUUGUUCACUUGGCCUCAUGAAAGUAGCAGGGGUUUAAAGGAAGAGACACUGGGUUCAACAUCCAGUUCUAUCACUUGCUAACUGUGUGUUCUUCAGCAAGUUGAAUAAUUUCACCAAAAUCUAAUUUCCGCAUUCAUGAAAUGGGCGGCAGGCAUCUGCCUCGCUGUCAGGAUGCCCACACCCCACAUCAGAUUACCUGGUGUGUGUCCCAGCUCUGGCUACUGACUCCAGCUUCCUGCUACUGUGGACCCUGGGAGGCCACAGGCAAUGGCUCAAGUGGGUUCCUCCCAUCCAUAUGAGAGACCUGAAUUUAGUUCCAGAUAUUUGGGAAGCAAAUCAGUGUCUGUGAGCUCUUUGUCUGUCUGUCUGUCUGUCUCUGUCUCUCUCAGCCUCACAAAUAAAUAACAGGUCAGUAACUGGGCUCCCGCUACCAUGUGAGAGACCUUGGAUUGAGUUCUCUGGUCCCAGUUUGAGCCCCUACUGUGUUGCUGCACAUAUCUGGGAAGUGAACCAGCAGAUGGGAGGUGUCUCUGUCUGCCUCUCAAGUGCAUAUAUAUAUUUUUAGGAUAGUCACCUCAAACGGUAGUUAGUGGAUUAAAAUAAAUAAUGCGGGUAAAUUGCCUUGCA